CUGCUUAUAUACAUCUUCAGCUGUCCGUUUUUAUGAUCGUUAAUGGUUGAUUUCUGCAGGACAUGUCCUACAAAGAUCAGUCAAUACUGUAUGAGCCCAUCAAAGAGCUUGAUAUCAUGUUAAACCAAUAGAUGCAGGAGUUUCAGUAGAUAUAAUUUCAGGCGUGAAUGAUCCAGUAACUUUGCAUUAUCUCAGCAGCCACCGAUCAGUUGCCUUUUCCCCCGAUCAGCACCUUAUAACACCUUCAGAUCAUGUAGAAAUCUUCACUCAUUUGAUGUGGAUAAUAUCAGAUUUCUUGGAACUUAUGGUAAGAAAAUCAAUGAACUUCACAAGUACUCAGAAGCUAAAAGCAAGCUUGAUUUUGUCGAAAGAGCACUGAAGUGGAGACAUCUUGCUCCCACUGCACCUAAUACACUCAACUGUUAUCCUUUCACUGAUGGAGACUCUUUCGUGAUUGAAACUUGCCCUCAUGUCAUAAAUAUAACAACUGUUUGGUAAAAGGGUCAGAAGGUCAGCUGGUUAGGUUGAUCUGCAUUCCUAAAUUUUGUGAGAUCGGUAUUGCUGUUGCAGUGAGUUGAAAUUUGAGAAGAUACCAUCCGCAGUGGAAUUCAAUUCUUCUUUUGUAUCUCAAUUCAUCAAAUAUGGUUGUUCUUUGGCAGAAGAACUAAAGGAAUCUGGAGUGUCACACGCGUAGCUUUAACAUUAAGUUAUAAAGUUAAUCACAACACUGGAAAAUGUAGGUCUCUAGGUCAUACCAAAUAGAUAUAUGUUAUGUAUUUUCCAGAGAAAUACUUUUUUGAGAUCUUUGGAAGUGUUAUUGUAUUAUUUCAUUACUUUGUAUAUAUAAUUUUAUAAAUUCCAGAGUUUUUUUUAGAAAACCAAACUAUUACAAUACUA